GCCUCUUUUAAUUUUUUUUUUAAUUUUCCUUUUUUUUAGGUCUAUUACAUUUUUGAAAAGUUGCCACAGCCUUGGAUGCCUUUACAGCAGUGCUGUACAAUCAUAGGUUGAAAAACUCAGGCUUUGCUUUGUAGCAGCUGCUGUUGGGUGGGAUCCAUCUCACUUAUCUUUAGUUGAGAUAUCUUUUGUCUCCUGUUAUAGUCAGUGGAGGAAAAUAGCCUCUUGGAGGACACAUUCCUCUGAUCUAUUCUGGUCUGAGAUGAAGUGAGUCCUUCCCAUCUCCAGCUGUAGGUGUCCCUGUUCAUUGCAGGGGAAUUGGACCAAAUGAAAAUCAACUAGUCAAAUUCCUCUGCAAUGAACAGGGACAUCUACAUGAACAGAGACUGACAUAGAUCCCUUUCAACUCAAAAGAUUCUAUGAUUUUAUGAUUCUAUGAUGACAAGCAAUUCAGACACAUUCCUCUGAUCUAUUCUGGUCUGAGAUGAAGUGAGUCCUUCCCAUCUCCAGCUGUAGGUGUCCCUGUUCAUUGCAGGGGAAUUGGACCAAAUGAAAAUCAACUAGUCAAAUUCCUCUGCAAUGAACAGGGACAUCUACAUGAACAGAGACUGACAUAGAUCCCUUUCAACUCAAACGAUUCUAUGAUUUUAUGAUUCUAUGAUGACAAGCAAUUCAGUGGCAGUCCUCUGUGUCAGAAAAGUCAUGUGAAAAUAUUUGCUAAUUUUUACAGCAUUACAUUGGUUCUUCCACUCACUUGCCACUUAAGGAUUCAGGUGUUUUGUAUCCCCAAGUCCCCAGUGUAAUGCAAAGGAUAAGGAAUGUCUGCAGACAGUUACUGUGACAUGAGUGGGAGGAGGACACAGAGAUCUGCCCUUUUCAGGAUGACACGUACAUUUUUUAUUUGAAUUUAUUUCUCAUCUGUAGAGAAGUUAUUUCUGAAAACAAGGGCCCUUGAGAAAAUUUUCUUUAACUGAUAGUUCAAACAGGUUUCAUUCAUAAUGCCAUCAGAAUGGAUCUCUGUUGAUUAAAGAGUAAGUGGUGCUUAUUUUACCAAAUUAUCCUUUUUUUUUUUUCUUUUUAAUUGUUUUUAAAAGAUUUGACGUAUUUAACAUUCACUUCUAGGUUAUGUUCAUAAGCAUGUGGCCAGCACCAAUUUUAAUAUCAACCAAGACUUUGUAUUGCUUUAUACUCUGAGGAGUAGUUAUCAAGAUAACAACUCUAUAUUUUUAGUAAGUGCUUUAGCUACAUUAUCAUGAGAUGUUCAGUUUCCAGCUCUGAAUGAAUGGGAACAACCUCAUACCUUACAGGACCUGUGCUAUUAUUUGCAUGCCAUGUUUGGCUUGGAGCUGGGGCUCUGAGACAGUGUUUGCACAGCUCACAUUUGGCCACAUGAGCCAGUGAGGCAGGCAGCUAAGGCUCCCAGGGCUGUGUCAUGCUGUGUGGAUAUGCAGAAAGAGGCAGGUCUCAGCCUCCCUUCCUCCCUCCUCUUCCUUAGAACACCCCAGCUGUGCAAAUCAGUCCAUUAGUGGACAUCUCCUUCAUCCUGCAAGGCUAUCCCUUCUCUUGUGGUAAGAGGCAAGUGUGAAGGAACCUCCUAUAGGUCCCACCAUCCCUACAGAAAUGAUUAUCCUACAUCAGGAUGGACCCCAUUGACAUCCUAUAUCACCCUACAUCCCUACAAGGAUGAUGGUUAUACAUCACCCUAGAUUCCUGCAGUGCCUAGAGACUCCACUGAUGACAGGGCAGCUCAUCUUUACCAACUCAAGAAAUUAGAGGACAGACCCUGCUCCUUAGUCCUGCAAAUUGCUCAACAGCUGAGAAAUCACUUUCCUACUCUGUUGGUAGGGUAAAAAGCCCAUCCCAGACCAAUUAAUUCAUAUACUGUUUGUAGAACUCCAUACUGAUGGGAGAAUGAUUUGAUGUUUAAGGGUGGACAGAAACUCCUGUUUUAGUGACUGGCUUUGCUACAGUCUUAGCACAUUAUCUUGGGAGUUUUGCAAAUAAUUAAUAGAAUUAUAGAAUCAGUAAGAUUGGAAAAGAUCGCUAAGAUCAUUUAGUCCCACCAUCAACCCAUCACCACCAUGCCCACUGAACAACAUCCCUAAAUUACCAGCAUGAUUGGGUGUACCUUUAAUUCAGACCAUUUUGCCGAUUAUGCGUAUAGAGAAACUUCUAAAACCCGGCACAACUGAUGAGGGUGAUGAACUGCAGAGAGGCUGGGAUUUUUUGAAUUGACUUUAGCACUGAAAUGAGGGGGAACAGCCAAAGAUUACCUAACUGGAGUACAAGUACUUACAUAAGCAUAACCGGAGGUAGUGCUUUGGAUUUCCCGAGUGUUCCUUCCAAUAGGAUACUGGCAACACUGCAGCACAUACAAAACUCUAUGAUAGUGAGGCUGUGACUGCUGGGGCAACAGGAGAAAGCAAUGGGGAAAUUCAAGGAAAAUAGCUAGAAGGAACUAAGAAGUUACCUUUUAAGGAAGUGACAAGACCAGCUGCCCAGAUGAAGUGACUCUACACCAAUGCAUGCGGCUUGGGAAACAAACAGGAGGAACUAGAAGCUACUGUGCUGCUUGAAAACUAUGAUAUAGUUGUCAUCACCGAAACCUGUUGGGAUGAUUCCCUUGACUGGAGUGUGGUUAUCAAUGGCUACAAGCUGUUCAGAAGGAACAGGUGAGGAAGGAGAGGUGGGGGUGUUCCUAUCUACAUCAAGAAAGGAAUAGAAUGUGAAGUUAUCCCUAAAGAACAGUCAUGAGCAAGUCAAGAGCCAAUGGGUGACAAUUAGAGACUGAGGCAGCAAAGGGAGCCUUGUGGUUGGUGUCUACUACAGGCCACCAGAUCAGUCAGAGCCUGUCUCCCUCCAGCUACGUGAGAUUUUGGGAUUGUAAGUGCUUAUUCUGCUGGGGGAACUUCAUAUCAUAGAAUCAUAGAAUGGCUUGGGUUGGAAGAGACCUCAAGGGUCAUCAAGCUCCAACCCCCUGCUACAGGCAGGGCUGCCAACCUCCAUAUCUAAUGCUGGACUCGAGCCACCAUCUGCUGGAAAAGUAGCACAGUGAGCUGUAGGCAAUCCAGAAGGCUCCUGGAAUGCAUUGAGGAUAACUUCCUGAGUCAAGUAGUUGGCAGCCCCACCAAGGGGAAUGUAAUACUGGACCUAUUGCUCACCAGUGCAAAUGAACUGAUUGUUGAUAUCAGGAUUGGAGACUGCCCGGGCUGUAGUGACCAUGCUAUGGUUGAAGUCAUGCUCCAGAGGGACAUGGGACAGGUGAAGAGUAAAAUUAAGAAGCUGAACUUUAGGAAAGCUAACUUUCAGCUCUUCAGGGAGUUAGUCAACAAAAUGCCCUGGGACUGUCCUCAUGGGCAGGGGUGCGGAGCAGAGCUGGUAGAUCUUUCAGGGGGGUUUCUUCAGGGCACAAAGCUCUCCAUCCCCAGGUGAAGCAAGUCAGGAAAGGAAGGCAAGUGACCGGCAUGGCUGAACUGGGACCUGCUGGUCCAAAUGAAGAGCAAGAAGAAAAUGCACAGGCAGUAGAAACAGGGACAGGUACUGUGGGAAGACUGUAAGGAAGCUGCUAGACUCUGUGUAUGGAUGGGGUCAAGAAAGCCAAGGCACAGCUUGAACUGAACUUGGCUAGUGAUGCCAAAAAGAACAAGAAAGGCUUCUACAGGUACCUCAACCAGAAAAGGAAAGACCAGGAGGGCAUAUCCUCCCCUAGUGAGUGACACAGGCAGGCUGGUAACAACAGACAAGGAGAAGGCCGAGGUAAUUAUUAUUAUUAUUAUUAUUUUUUUACCAUGGUCUUCCCUGAUAACUUCUCACCACACAGUUCUCAAACAUUUGGUUUGGUAGGAGGAGAUCAGGGAAGCAAAGUCCCUCCCACAGUAAGUGAAGAUCAGGUUCAUGACCACCUGAGAAACCUGAACAUCCACAAGUCUGUGGGUCCUGUUGAGAUGCAUCCCACAGUCCUGAGGGAAUUGGCUGAUGUGGUUGCCAAGACACUCUCUAAGAUACUUGAAAAGUUGUGGCAAUCAAAUGAAGUCCCUGGUGACUGGAAAAAAGGAAACAUCAUAUCCAUCUUUAAA
ensembl:lncRNA